rnacentral:rRNA from 1 species
GAGUUUGAUCCUGGCUCAGAUUGAACGCUGGCGGCAUGCCUUACACAUGCAAGUCGAACGGCAGCACGGGAGCUUGCUCCUGGUGGCGAGUGGCGAACGGGUGAGUAAUGCAUCGGAACGUAUCCUGGAGUGGGGGAUAACGUAGCGAAAGUUACGCUAAUACCGCAUAUUCUGUGAGCAGGAAAGCGGGGGACCUUCGGGCCUCGCGCUCUUGGAGCGGCCGAUGUCGGAUUAGCUAGUUGGUGAGGUAAAGGCUCACCAAGGCGACGAUCCGUAGCAGGUCUGAGAGGAUGAUCUGCCACACUGGAACUGAGACACGGUCCAGACUCCUACGGGAGGCAGCAGUGGGGAAUUUUGGACAAUGGGGGCAACCCUGAUCCAGCCAUGCCGCGUGAGUGAAGAAGACCUGG